rnacentral:rRNA from 1 species
ACUCCUACGGGAGGCAGCAGUGGGAAUAUUGCGCAAUGGGGAAGGCCAUCGACGCAGCGACGCCGCGUGGUGGAUGAAGGCAGUCUCGGGUCGUAAAAGCCCUGUCGGAGGGGAAGAACCGUACCGACUUAAUACGUCGGUGCCUGACGGUACCCUCUAAGGAAGCACCGGCUAACUCCGUGCCAGCAGCCGCGGUAAUACGGAGGGUGCAAGCGUUGUUCGGAAUCACUGGGCGUAAAGGGCGCGUAGGCGGUCUGUUAAGUCUGAUGUGAAAUCCCUCCGCUC